rnacentral:lncRNA from 13 species
GGCUUGAGUCACUGCGCCCGGCCUUUUUUUUUUUAAGAGAUGGGUUCUUGCUGUGUUGCCCAGGAUGGUGUGCACUGGCUAUUCACAGGUGAGAUUAGCAUGGGAGUUUUGACCUGCUCCGUUUUUGACCUGGGCCAGCUCACCCCUCCUUAGGCAACCUGGUGGUCCCCUACUUCCGGGAGGUCGCCAUAUGGAUGCUGAGCUUAGUGUGGACACCCGAUCGGCAUAGCGCACUACAGCCCAGAACUCCUGGGCUCAGGAGAUCCUCCUACCUCAGCCUCCCGAGUAGCUGGGACUACAGGCACGCACCACCGCACCUGGCAGCUGCAGUGAUUCCUAAAAUGACAAAUGGCUGGGCGGGCAGAGGAAUUUUUUUUUUUUUUGAGAGAGAAAGUUUAGCUCUGUGGCCUGGCUGGAGUGCGGUGGUGUGAUCUUGGCUCACCACAACCGCUGCCUCCCAAGUUCAAGCGAUUCUCCCGUCUCAGCCUCCUGAGUAACUGAGAUUACAGGUGUGCACCACUGUACCUGGCUAAUUUUUUUGUAUUUUCAGUAGAGAUGGGGUUUCACCAUGUUGGCCAGGCUGUUCCUGAACUCCUGACCUCAGGUAAUCCACCUGCCUCGGCCUCCCCAAGUGUUAGGACUACAGGUAAGCGCCACUGCCUUGCCCAGGCAGAAAUUGUGUUAAAACAAAAAUUCUUUCAAGGAAGAUAUUAACCAGUUGGUCACGUCUCAGCCGAUGAAGUGUCUUAGAAGGUCCUGCUGGUGGUGUGAGCAUCUUGUCGCCAAGGAAGGUGAAACACUUCCGCAUUCACACUGGAAAGCUGGGGUUAUUUUAUGUAUGUCUGGAACCACCCUAGAUUUUAAAGACCAUUUCUUCCAAAUGAUGAAAAAAAAUGAUACUUUCAAUCGUUAAGUCUUACAUCAGUUUCCUUUGAUGUCUGGGAGAAAGAAGUCCCGGGGGCGGGCAUGGUGGCUCAAGCCUGUAAUCCCAGCACUUUGGGAGGCCGAGGCAGGUGGAUCAUGAGGUCAAGAGAUCGAGACCAUCCUGGUCAACAUGGGCUGCUGGGCCCCACAGGGUCGUGGGGCCUUGUGUCGUGCCGAAGUGCAGGAUCCAAGAAGGAAAGGGACAGGACACUGAAGAGCUCGCGAAGACCAUCUGGACUCGGGGGCCACGCCACCUGUGAGCGGAGAUUGGCGAGAGCCCAAAUGCCAAGAAGCAUCUGUAUUUAUUAGGUACAAGCAGGGGGCAGGGUCAUGAAUGGGCUUGGCGAUAGGGCAUACGUAAUCACGUGAGUCACAAGCGAGGGGGCCACCCCAUUAGGUCACCUGAGCAGAUAGGUGGGCUAUGCUCAGUAGGGGGCCGUGCUGUGUGCAGUAGUAGAGGGUCGUGUACAGAAAAGGGUUCCACCCCCAUUAGGUCACCGAGGCAAGGAGGUGGGCUGUGUGCGACAGGUGUCGUGCACAACACUUUUUAUCUGGGGGCUGGAGACUUCAAUGGAUUUCUUCUUUUUUUUUUUUUUCUUUUUUUUAAGAUGGGUUUUCACCAUGAUGGCCAAGCUGGUCUUGAACUCCUGACCUCAGGUGAUCCACCCACCUCAGCCUCCCAAAGUGCUAGGAUUACAGGCUUGAGCCACAGCGCCUGGCUUUCAAAGGAUUUCUAAUGGAAGGAUACUAUAAGUCACUGCAGUGGGAGCUGACAGACUUGUGCUCUUCUCUUAAGAUAUUUAUGGGAGGAUGAUUUGAAUAGGGUGUAUGGCUGCCAUAACUGGUCACAUCAGAGGGUUCUUCUCCCUCGGUUACUUCCAGGAUCUCAGGCCUGAGGCCGACUUUCCACAGGAACUGGAUGCAGGUACCACAACUCCUCUAUCAGGAGGAGAGGCUCCUGCUCCAAGCCUGCAUACAGCAUAUGCCCUUCCAGGCAGGGACGCCACCGCCGGGGUCUUUGGUUCUCGUCCUGGCCUGGCUGUUUUCCCACGUGCUGCUUCUGUUCUGUGACCGCUCUAGGCGUCCUCCUACUACAGACUACUGUAUGGUUAUAUGGAAGGAUUCUAUAAAUCAGCACUAAGUGUGUCAGUGCAGUUCCGACUACAGUACCUGUUUGAUUAUAUAGAAAGAUUAUAUGGGACUAAGUAUGAAUAUAUAUAUAAACUAGAUAGAGUGAGCAGUGAGUUAUGCUUCAGGCACUAACUGCCUGGGGUCUGUACAGUUCUUCCUCGGUGUCCCUGGGGGGUGU